rnacentral:rRNA from 1 species
UACGAAGGGGGCUAGCGUUGCUCGGAAUCACUGGGCGUAAAGCGCACGUAGGCGGCUUUUUAAGUCAGGGGUGAAAUCCUGGAGCUCAACUCCAGAACUGCCUUUGAUACUGAGAAGCUUGAGUCCGGGAGAGGUGAGUGGAACUGCGAGUGUAGAGGUGAAAUUCGUAGAUAUUCGCAAGAACACCAGUGGCGAAGGCGGCUUACUGGUCCGGUUCUGACGCUGAGGCGCGAAAGCGUGGGGAGCAAACAGG